CAAAAGGCUUAACACUCAGGCAGAGGCGCUGUGCUAGAUCCUGUAAUGCAGGGGAGGGGAUGUCAAACCUGGUGUCAGAGACCUGGAUGCAGCAAGUGGUAUGGCCUUUGCCCACACUGUCCGCCGAGCCUGGAAUGCCUGCCUCAGCCCUGCCCCGUGAACUGCUACUGAAGUUCACAUCUUCAUUUGGCAGCACUUCCUCCCGGAAAUGUCCCCGGAUGUCCACCCUGCAUGCUGUAGCAAAUGACGAGGCUUCACAUUCCAGAUGGUGCAGCUAUGAGCCCCGAGGGCCUCCGACAGCCUGGAUGCCUGAGUGACCGUGUGGAGCCCAGUGCCCCGCCAACCCAGAGGAGCAAGCAGGAU
rnacentral:lncRNA from 1 species